ACUCGUAUCUCAAUGACUUCCCCAGUUCCACGUUCAUCUCUCUAAAUUAAAGCUUCUUCUCUUUGCUUCAUCUCUGUCUCCCCACACAUCUCUCUAAAUUAAAAUUCUCCCCCCUCCCCCAAAAGAUCUGGUCUCGUUCCUCAGAUCCGCCAGUGAUUGCUUCCUCAGGACAUCUGUCGUCUCCAUUUCAGCGAUUCAUGCUCUAUUCUUCCGCCAGCUGCUGUAAUACCGCGACGAGUACGACGACCAAGGCAGAGAUCUCAGAUCCGGCGGCAUAGAUCUCAGCUCCGGCGGCAGAAAGCUCAGAUCCAGCGGUAGAGAGCUCAAAUCCGGUGGUAGAGAGCUGAAUCCGACGGCAGAGAGCUCAGAUCCAGUGUCACAAAAGCAGCGCAGGAUGGGAGAAGUCCAGAUGAACUGACAUUCAAUUCUGAUGAGAAGCUAACAAUAAAAUGGGUAAGUUAAGAUUCAGUGUAAAGAAGAGUGCAAAACAUUAUUGUUAUAGGUUUUUUUUUUUUUUGUAUAUUUGUUUUCAGGCGUUGAAGUCGUGAAGAUACUGAAAAGAGGAGAUACUAUAAUGGCUAUGGAUCUGAGAUUACGAAGAAGUCCAGCUUCCAUUAAAGCAAUGGAUGAAGUAUUUUUUCUUUGAAAUACAAUACAUAAGUAUUCUUUUCCAUGGUUUUUUGUCAUUUUAAUUUGAUUUUCUUUGAAUUUAGUUUGUGAAAGAAUGCAUAGACAUUGUAUUUUUUGUAUUUAUUUUUCUGUAAUUUCUUUUCAUUGUAUAUAUAUUCAGAUUUCAGAGUGCAUGAGUGUAUAUCAGUGUAUUGUAUUUGUGUGUA